rnacentral:rRNA from 1 species
GAUGAACGCUGGCGGCGUGCCUAAUACAUGCAAGUCGAGCGAACAGACGAGGAGCUUGCUCCUCUGACGUUAGCGGCGGACGGGUGAGUAACACGUGGAUAACCUACCUAUAAGACUGGGAUAACUUCGGGAAACCGGAGCUAAUACCGGAUAAUAUAUUGAACCGCAUGGUUCAAUAGUGAAAGACGGUUUUGCUGUCACUUAUAGAUGGAUCCGCGCCGCAUUAGCUAGUUGGUAAGGUAACGGCUUACCAAGGCAACGAUGCGUAGCCGACCUGAGAGGGUGACCGGCCACACUGGAACUGGAACACGGUCCAGACUCCAACGGGAGGCAGCAGUAGGGAAUCUUCCGAAAUGGGCGAAAGCCUGACGGAGCAACGCCGCGUGAGUGAUGAAGGUCUUCGGAUCGUAAAACUCUUUUAUUAGGGAAGAACAAAUGUGUAAGUAACUAUGCACGUCUUGACGGUACCUAAUCAAAAAGCCACGGCUAACUACGUG